rnacentral:rRNA from 1 species
UGGCAACCAGACUUGCGCAGGGUCGAUCAUCCGGUGUUCGCACCGGUGCACUCGGCCCCGUGCAGGCCAGCAUCGGUCUAGACGGUUGGAUAAAGGCCUUGGGAAUGUGACUCUCUUCGGGGAGUGUUAUAGCCCAAGGUGCAAUGCAGCCCGUCUGGACCGAGGACCGCGCUCCGGCUAGGAUGCUGGCGUAAUGGUUGUCAGCGA